ensembl:lncRNA
GAAUGAGCACUACCAAAGGAGAGGCCGGAGGAGAGACUCGCAGGGGGAGACUGCAGGGGAAGGAGUCAAACCACGAAGGGCCCCAUCAGCCCCGACCCCCAUUUCUAACUGCGACCCAGCAUUGCCUCCUGUGUCCGGCCUGUCAGCAGCUCCGGAGUCUGCAGAGGUCCAAGAAGAGGAGCAGGAGCAUCUGGAUAAGGAGGAGGAGGAGGAGAAGGUGGUGGAAGAGAGGGAGGAGGAGAAAAAAGUGGUAUUAAUAGGCGACCACGAGCAGCUCGGCGUGCUGUACCAGAGGCAAAAACUAUUGCAGGACCUCGGGGUGGUGAGCCAGAUCCAGCAGCUGCUGCAGGGCCACAGAGAGGGAGGGGGAGCAAACGACUUCUGCUCCCAGCAGCAGAGAAAUCAUCAAAGGCAACACAGGAAGUUGGAUUCACUGACACAUUUUUGUCAAAGGACUAAAGAGCAGGACAUACCUGUGCAGCAGCUCGGGUCCGUCAUGACUCAGCAGCGUUUCCUCCGGCCCACUGUGCACCGCAGCUGCCCGAACGGCGAGUCCAAGAGCCACGGCAGAGCGGGAGAAAUACGCCGGAUCGUCAGCCCCCAGCAGGCGUCCUGGCCAGUCAGCGACUCUCUGAGCAGCUUCUACACCGACGCCCGGUCCCGUCCUGGCAUCCCGACCAUAAACUGCAUCUCCAAAGGAGGCCCUCGAUGCACCAACGACGUGUCCCACGACCCCGACGCCCUGCGCAGCCUGCUCGUCAUCUCCACGUGCGUCCCGCUGCUCCGGAGGCCUGGCUUCCCUCACAGAGCGACCCAGCACGGUAAAGGGCAGUGAGGGCAGCGGGACCGCCGACCUCACGAAGCCCCUCCGAGUCCAGACCUGCAGCUCUCACCUCACACUGAAGCUGCUCCACAGAGAAAUACAAAGAGCCUUGAAGAGAGAAAAUUCAGAAAUACACAAUGCCUUUGAUAAACAUGGAUGUUUGUAUAUAGCUUUUAUACC